rnacentral:lncRNA from 1 species
CGGUGUAGAGAUACUGGGAUGAAGGUGCGGAUGGUUGUUAGAGAACAACUUGCACUGAGCGUGACCAACACGAAAACCACAUGGAUGUCUACUCACUUGUCAGUGGUCUUCUCGAUGCUGCAGUGGUGUGAGUGGUCCUUUGACUUGCGAUGCCAUUGGCUAUUCGCAGCGAGGCUACUAGGUUUGAUUAUAUAUUUUUUUGAUCCUUAGCCAUUCGGAUCCUUGCUAUGUUUGUUGGCUU